rnacentral:rRNA from 1 species
AAAGGAAGAAAAAGAGGUGGCCAUUAUUAUUGGGCCUAAAGCGUUCGUAGCCGGUUUGAUAAGUCUCUGGUGAAAUCCCGCAGCUUAACUGUGGGACUUGCUGGAGAUACUAUCAGACUUGAGGUCGGGAGAGGUUAGGGGUACUCCCAGGGUAGGGGUGAAAUCCUAUAAUCCUGGGAGGACCACCUGUGGCGAAGGCGCCUAACUGGAACGAACCUGACGGUGAGUAACGAAAGCCAGGGGCGCGAACCG